CCCUUAGAUGUUCUGGGCCGCACGCGCGCUACACUGACACGUUCAUCAAGUCUAUAACCUUGACCGAGAGGUCUGGGUAAUCUUUUAAAAACGUGUCGUGCUGGGGAUAGAUUAUUGCAAUUAUUAAUCUUCAACGAGGAAUUCCUAGUAAACGCAAGUCAUCAACUUGCAUUGAUUACGUCCCUGCCCUUUGUACACACCGCCCGUCGCUACUACCGAUUGAAUGAUUUAGUGAGUACCAGGGACCGGGCGCUUUGGUUGGGUUUCCUUCCCUAGCGCUUGGGAACUGUCGCAAACUUGACCAUUUAGAGGAAGUAAAAGUCGUAACA
rnacentral:rRNA from 1 species